rnacentral:rRNA from 1 species
UACGUAGGUGGCAAGCGUUAUCCGGAAUUAUUGGGCGUAAAGCGCGCGCAGGUGGUUUCUUAAGUCUGAUGUGAAAGCCCACGGCUCAACCGUGGAGGGUCAUUGGAAACUGGGAGACUUGAGUGCAGAAGAGGAAAGUGGAAUUCCAUGUGUAGCGGUGAAAUGCGUAGAGAUAUGGAGGAACACCAGUGGCGAAGGCGACUUCUGGUCUGUAACUGACACUGAGGCGCGAAGCGUGGGGAGCAAACAGG